UGGCGGACGGGUGAGUAAUGUCUGGGAAACUGCCUGAUGGAGGGGGAUAACUACUGGAAACGGUAGCUAAUACCGCAUAACGUCGCAAGACCAAAGAGGGGGACCCUCGGGCCUCUUGCCAUCGGAUGUGCCCAGAUGGGAUUAGCUUGUUGGUGGGGUAACGGCUCACCUAGGCGACGAUCCCUAGCUGGUCUGAGAGGAUGACCAGCCACACUGGAACUGAGACACGGUCCAGACUCCUACGGGAGGCAGCAUG
rnacentral:rRNA from 1 species